GACGAACGCUGGCGGCGUGCUUAACACAUGCAAGUCGAACGGAAAGGCCCUGCUUUUGUGGGGUGCUCGAGUGGCGAACGGGUGAGUAACACGUGAGUAACCUGCCCUUGACUUUGGGAUAACUUCAGGAAACUGGGGCUAAUACCGGAUAGGAGCUCCUGCUGCAUGGUGGGGGUUGGAAAGUUUCGGCGGUUGGGGAUGGACUCGCGGCUUAUCAGCUUGUUGGUGGGGUAGUGGCUUACCAAGGCUUUGGCGGGUAGCCGGCCUGAGAGGGUGACCGGCCACAUUGGGACUGAGAUACGGCCCAGACUCCUACGGGAGGCAGCAGUGGGGAAUAUUGCACAAUGGGCGGAAGCCUGAUGCAGCAACGCCGCGUGCGGGAUGACGGCCUUCGGGUUGUAAACCGCUUUCGCCUGUGACGAAGCGUGAGUGACGGUAAUGGGUAAAGAAGCACCGGCUAACUACGUGCCAGCAGCCGCGGUGAUACGUAGGGUGCGAGCGUUGUCCGGAUUUAUUGGGCGUAAAGGGCUCGUAGGUGGUUGAUCGCGUCGGAAGUGUAAUCUUGGGGCUUAACCCUGAGCGUGCUUUCGAUACGGGUUGACUUGAGGAAGGUAGGGGAGAAUGGAAUUCCUGGUGGAGCGGUGGAAUGCGCAGAUAUCAGGAGGAACACCAGUGGCGAAGGCGGUUCUCUGGGCCUUUCCUGACGCUGAGGAGCGAAAGCGUGGGGAGCGAACAGGCUUAGAUACCCUGGUAGUCCACGCUGUAAACGGUGGGUACUAGGUGUGGGGUCCAUUCCACGGGUUCCGUGCCGUAGCUAACGCUUUAAGUACCCCGCCUGGGGAGUACGGCCGCAAGGCUAAAACUCAAAGGAAUUGACGGGGCCCCGCACAAGCGGCGGAGCAUGCGGAUUAAUUCGAUGCAACGCGUAGAACCUUACCUGGGUUUGACAUGGAUCGGGAGUGCUCAGAGAUGGGUGUGCCUCUUUUGGGGUCGGUUCACAGGUGGUGCAUGGCUGUCGUCAGCUCGUGUCGUGAGAUGUUGGGUUAAGUCCCGCAACGAGCGCAACCCUUGUUCACUGUUGCCAGCACGUUAUGGUGGGGACUCAGUGGAGACCGCCGGGGUCAACUCGGAGGAAGGUGGGGAUGACGUCAAGUCAUCAUGCCCCUUAUGUCCAGGGCUUCACGCAUGCUACAAUGGCUGGUACAGAGAGUGGCGAGCCUGUGAGGGUGAGCGAAUCUCGGAAAGCCGGCCUCAGUUCGGAUUGGGGUCUGCAACUCGACCUCAUGAAGUCGGAGUCGCUAGUAAUCGCAGAUCAGCAACGCUGCGGUGAAUACGUUCCCGGG
rnacentral:rRNA from 1 species